rnacentral:lncRNA from 1 species
GUUGAAAGAUGAAAGAGAGACGCCGGGAGGUGAUUACCGCCGGCCACAGCAAGACGAUGGUGGUUGAUAGCGGCAACGGCCGCCUCCAGAGGCAAGGCAGAUGCCAGACGGCAUGGUGACAACUGCGUUUUUUUCCACGCCGACGGUGACGACGGAGUUCUUUUUAACUCCGGUGGUGGCGAGGUCGUGGAAACAAGGGGUUAUGGUUCCGUAAAUCCAACUAAUCUUAACCACCAGUUGUCAUUUCGCUUGACCUCCUAGAAUGUAUCCAGCGAUUGGCUGGUUCGAACUAUCAUUCUUCUUUGAUAACCUGGCUAUAAAGAAGAUAAAUGGCUUGCUGACACACGAAACUGGGCUAAAAAGAUUCAAGAAGAAUGGAGGAUUCUCGAAAAAGAAUUACCUGAUAUGAUAUUUGUUACGGACUUACGGUUUAUGAAUCGAGGAUGGGUCUUUUAAAAGCGUCAUAAUGGGAGCUGAAGGAACGCCGUAUCAUGAUUGUCUUUUUUCCUAUGAUGUGUGCUUCCCUAAAACCUAUCCUCAUGAUCCACCUAUUUCUUAGUAUCAGGCACUAACCUUAAAACAAAGGCAGGUAAGCAAAAAAAAAACAACCACUUUUCCAUUUGCUUUCAGUUUGCAGUAUGUAUUAAAAUGUGGACUCAAUAGUUUGAAAAGUCAUAUGGACAGUUGUAGUAUUUUGUUUAUGCCAUUCCAGAUCCGAAGCUAUGUUUCUACGUUUGUUACUUACUCCGUUAUGGUUCUUACUUCGUACUUUUGGUACUUCUUUUGUGGUUAAACGUUCUGUUAUUGAGCUUCGAUCACAACCCAAACGGGUCACUUUACUUGGAAUCGAACCAAUAUCGACCGGGCUCCCACUAUUAACAGUAUUCUGUCCAUAAUACGUUUUAAUUUAAUAUGUUUGUAUGAUUCUAGAUUGAUUGUCGAUAUUCUAUUUUGAAUAUCACGACUUUAAUAUAUGAAUUUGUGCUUUCGGU